UUUUAUUAGAACUUAUUAAUAAUAAAACCUGCUCAAUGAAAAUUAAAUAGCCGCAUUUGUGCUAAGGUAGCAUAAUAAUUUGUUUUUUAAUUAAAAACUAGAACAAAAGGUUUAACAUUUCAAUUUAUUUUUUUAUUUUUUUAAUAUAAAUUAUUUUAUAUGUAAAAAAACAUUUAUUUCUAAAAAAGACGAUAAGACCCUAUUGAACUUUACUUUAGUUAAACUGGGGAAGUUAAUUAAAUAUAAUUUUAAUUUAAUUUAUUUAACUAAUGACCUAAUUUAAUUAAUCACCUGAUCAAGUUACCAUAGGGAUAACAGCGUAAUAUAAUUUUAAAGCCCUUAUUUUAAAUUAAUUUUGCGACCUCGAUGUUGACUAAUAUUCUUUAUCUCGCAAAAGAGAUAAAAGAAAGUCUGUUCGACUUUUAAAAAAUUACA
rnacentral:rRNA from 1 species